AGCUAAAUCGGUACGGGGCUUUAAAACCCUUCCUAGAGAGACCUAGGCCAAUUGUCUUUUAACCAAUUGGUCGUAGGUUCGAAUCCUACACGACCCACCA
rnacentral:tRNA from 1 species